rnacentral:rRNA from 1 species
GCAGCAGCCGCGGUAAUACCGAGGGUGCGAGCGUUAAUCGGAUUUACUGGGCGUAAAGCGUGCGUAGGCGGCUUCUUAAGUCGGAUGUGAAAUCCCUGAGCUUAACUUAGGAAUUGCAUUCGAUACUGGGAAGCUAGAGUAUGGGAGAGGAUGGUAGAAUUCCAGGUGUAGCGGUGAAAUGCGUAGAGAUCUGGAGGAAUACCGAUGGCGAAGGCAGCCAUCUGGCCUAAUACUGACGCUGAGGUACGAAAGCAUGGGGAGCAAACAGGAUUAGAUACCCCUGUAGUCCCUGUCUCUUAUAC